rnacentral:rRNA from 1 species
CAGUCGCCGCGGUAAUACGUAGGGUGCAAGCGUUGUCCGGAAUUAUUGGGCGUAAAGAGCUCGUAGGCGGUUUGUCGCGUCUGCUGUGAAAUCCCGAGGCUCAACCUCGGGCUUGCAGUGGGUACGGGCAGACUAGAGUGCGGUAGGGGAGAUUGGAAUUCCUGGUGUAGCGGUGGAAUGCGCAGAUAUCAGGAGGAACACCGAUGGCGAAGGCAGAUCUCUGGGCCGUAACUGACGCUGAGGAGCGAAAGCGUGGGGAGCGAACAGGAUUAGAGACCCCUGUAGUCCCUGUCUCUUAUAA